AUUGAACGCUGGCGGCAGGCCUAACACAUGCAAGUCGAACGGUAACAGGAAGAAGCUUGCUUCUUUGCUGACGAGUGGCGGACGGGUGAGUAAUGUCUGGGAAACUGCCUGAUGGAGGGGGAUGACUACUGGAAACGGUAGCUAAUACCGCAUAACGUCGCAAGACCAAAGAGGGGGACCUUCGGGCCUCUUGCCAUCGGAUGUGCCCAGAUGGGAUUAGCUAGUAGGUGGGGUAACGGCUCACCUAGGCGACGAUCCCUAGCUGGUCUGAGAGGAUGACCAGCCACACUGGAACUGAGACACGGUCCAGACUCCUACGGGAGGCAGCAGUGGGGAAUAUUGCACAAUGGGCGCAAGCCUGAUGCAGCCAUGCCGCGUGUAUGAAGAAGGCCUUCGGGUUGUAAAGUACUUUCAGCGGGGAGGAAGGGAGUAAAGUUAAUACCUUUGCUCAUUGACGUUACCCGCAGAAGAAGCACCGGCUAACUCCGUG
rnacentral:rRNA from 1 species